AAACUCUAGAACUUGGAUUUGGC
rnacentral:siRNA from 1 species